GAUGAACGCUGGCGGCGUGCCUAAUACAUGCAAGUCGAGCGAACGGACGAGAAGCUUGCUUCUCUGAUGUUAGCGGCGGACGGGUGAGUAACACGUGGAUAACCUACCUAUAAGACUGGGAUAACUUCGGGAAACCGGAGCUAAUACCGGAUAAUAUUUUGAACCGCAUGGUUCAAAAGUGAAAGACGGUCUUGCUGUCACUUCUCGAUGGAUCCGAGCUGCUUUAGCUAGUUGGUAAGGUAACGGCUUUCCAAGGCAACGAUGCAUAGCCGACGUGAGGGGGUGAUCGGCCACACUGGAAGUGAGACACGGACCUGACUCCUACGGGAGGGAGCAGAAUGGAAUGUGACGCAAUGGUGGAAAGCCUUACGGAGCAACGCCGCGUGAGUUAUGAAGGUCUUCGGAUCGUAAAACUCGGUUAUUAGGGAAGAACAUAUGUGGAAGGAACUGUGCACAUCUUGACGGUACUUAAUCAGAAAGCCACGGCUAACUACGUG
rnacentral:rRNA from 1 species